GUAACACGUAUGCAACCUACCCUUUACUGGGGCAUAGCUCAGAGAAAUCUGAAUUAAUUCCCCAUAAUACAAUUGAAUGGCAUCAUUUGAUUAUUAAAGUUGAGGCGGUAAAGGAUGGGCAUGCGUUGCAUUAGCUAGUUGGUGAGGUAAUGGCUCACCAAGGCUACGAUGCAUAGGGGUUCUGAGAGGAUGAUCCCCCACACUGGUACUGAGACACGGACCAGACUCCUACGGGAGGCAGCAGUAGGGAAUAUUGGUCAAUGGACGCAAGUCUGAACCAGCCAUGCCGCGUGCAGGAAGACGGCCCUCUGGGUUGUAAACUGCUUUUAUAUGGGAAGAAACCUCAUUAUGCGUAAUGAACUGACGGUACCAUAUGAAUAAGGAUCGGCUAACUUCGUGCCAGCAGCCGCGGUAAGACGAAGGAUCCAAGCGUUGUCCGGAUUUACUGGGCUUAAAGGGUGCGUAGGCGGAAUUUUAAGUCAGUGGUGAAAGCCCUUCGCUCAACGAAGGAACUGCCAUUGAAACUGAAAUUCUUGAAUACGGUUGAGGUAGAUGGAAUAUAACAUGUAGCGGUGAAAUGCUUAGAUAUGUUAUAGAACACCGAUUGCGAAGGCAGUCUACUAAGCCGUGAUUGACGCUGAGGCA
rnacentral:rRNA from 1 species